CCCGCUUAGCACCUGCUCCAUUGCAUCUAUUUACUUAUAUCGCCGACAAGACCCCGAUUAGGCUCGGGAUUUCCCCCGACCAAGGUCGGAAUACUCUUCUGAGUCGACCAUAGGCCAGGGGCCUAUCAACCCCGCGCACGCUUUCCCCAUUCGUGAUUUCCAUUUUAGCCUAUACAGACCCCUCCAAAUGAGGACUCAGCCAAGCCCAAACAUCGAAAAGUUGACGCCAGUCCGCAGUGACGA
rnacentral:lncRNA from 1 species